UUGGCUAGUUAUGAAGAUUAACAUGAUAUUAGAGCCCAAGGUCUUGAGUUCAAGUCCUGGCUUUCAUAAUUUAUUCAAAAAUUGCUGCUGCUUGUCUUUGUGAUUACGUAUAUCUUAAGCCAUACCUUCGAGUCGAUUCACGUGUUCACUUACUGCGUUACACGUGAGAGGGGGUGUUGAAGUGUAUAUGUGGAUUGUCUAGCCUUUUUCAUCAGUUUGUACUUUUGGUUGCUUUGUGUAGUGCAUGAAGCUUAAUAGCACGAUACUAUCAUAGUGCACAUUGACCGAAGAGUGUCGAUUUAUUUCUUUGUGCUUGUUGUCUACUAUAUAUUUUAUGUUGGUUUUUAUCAUGAUUGGGAAGUCUCAUGUUAUUGAUGCCUUGUUGUUUUUCCAGGAAAAAAAAGGAAUGCAAUAUUCAAUUACUUUACUGUGUUUUGGAGAUAUAAUUUAAGUUAUUUGAGGAUUGGAGAUAUAAUCUAAGUAACCUGAGGAGGAAGAUUACAGUUUACAGGAACAAUGACAUGAUGUAUCAGGCAAGUUUUUUUGUGAGAGAGUUCCCAAAUGUUUGAUAAGCUUGUAAUGCUCCAUGGUUUUUAUUAUCUAAUGAAGUUAGAUUUGUGUAGACUUGCGUGGUUAUGCCAUCAUUACUUGGUUAUUCGUACAUAAAAUAUGUAUGAGUGAGGUGUUUUCAAAAUUUAAUAAAAUUUAUUAUAAUGUUUUUUAAAUGAUUCAUUAUUUUUAAAAGAAUACAGUUUACGAGAAUAUUAACAUGAUGUAUCAGACAAUUUUUUUAUGAGAGUUCCCAAAUGUUUGAUAAGCUUGUGAUGCUCCAUGUUUAUUAUUAUCUAAUGAAGUUAGAUCUGUAUGGACAUGUGUGGUUAGGCCAUCAUUGCUUGGUUAUCCGUACAUGAAAUAUCUAUGAGUGAGAUGUUUCCAAAAUUUAAUACAAUUUUACUGUAAUGUUUUUUAAAUAAUUCAUUAUUUUUAAAGACAACUGUAGUGAAUGAAAUGAAUAUAAUGACUAUUUAUUUUACUUAUGUUAAAUAUUAAUAACAGUUGAAUUUUAUACUGUUUAUUUAGUUCAAUAAUGAUAGGUUUUUUAAACAUUUAUAAAUUUGAAAUAUUUAUUCACUAUGGUAGUAAACUAUUUUGUUCAUUUUGCGUUGUACGACUAGAUGAAAUUCAUGCUUAAGAAAUAUAUAUAGGAAGCCAUAUAAUACUAUCAUAGGGUGCACUAGCCAAAAAGUGUGAUUUUAUCUGUUUUAUGGUUAUUUUGUUUUCUUAAUCAUGAUUAUGGUAUGUCUAUAUAAUGAUGCCUUUUGUUUCUCCAGGAAACACAAUGAAUGUUCACUUAUUCAACUACUUUACAGUGUUUGCGAGACAUAACUUAAGUUAUGUGAGGAGGAAUGACCUUAUUGUUUUGUUAAUUAUAUUUAUAUUAUGUAUGAGUGGGGUGUUUUUUUUUGUUACUAAAAUCAGGAUAUAGUUAAUUUUAAAAAAUGAGUUGUUAUUAUUAAAAAUGUUUUCAGUGAGUGUCUAUUGGCAAGAUGACUGUAGUCAAUGGAAUGAAUAUGACGACUCUUUGUUCUAAUUGUGAUAGAUUUAUAAAUGAUAGUUUAACUCUAUUAGAUUCUCUAUUUAGUCCAAUGAUGUCAGUUUUAGACAUUCCUAAAUUUGCAUGUUUAUUUUGUCAUAAUUUUUGUACUGCACUAUUGGGUUCAUUUUUGCGUUAUAGCACCAAUGAAAUGCAUGUUAACUAUUAGGUGCACUUAAUCAUUUGAUGUGCCUUGUUCUAUAGGAUAUUUAUUUUGCAAUAUUCAAUUACUUAGUUAGUGUUGAAAGGCAUAGCAUAAGUUAUGUGAGGAGGAAGAGUAGAGUACAACAUGUAAGGGAGCAGUGACAUUAUCAGAUUUUUUUUUCCUGUUGAGAGUCACCAAGACAUCUGAUAAGGCCUGUGGUGCUCUAUGGUUGACAUUAUCAGUAGCAGCCUAACAAUCUGGAUGGUAACACUGGUUUGGUGUGGGGAUUGCGCAACAAAUGAUAUCAAAUCCAGGUACUAGUAUUUGUAUUGUUAAUUUGAAGGUCAAUAAUGUGCUUUUUUGUUGUUGGACAAUAAGCAUUUUUAUUCAUACAUAAAACUAAAUUGUGGGCUUGUCUUAGUUGCCAAUGGAUGUUUAUGUUUCAGGAAUAAUUCAAUUAAGUGUAGGAGAUGAGAACGCGGAGGACCAGCUUCAUCAACUAUUGAAGCUGCUGCUGGUUUAAGGACUGAGAUGCUUAUGUCCACUGAAUUAAUCCUUGUAUUCAGUGAAGAAGAGGGGACGUCGUAGGACUGCUGCUGCUGGUUUAUUGACAUUAGGUAGCUGCUGCGACGCACCGCCAGAGUUGUUGUGUGUGCAUGUGUGCUUGUGUUGAGCCAGUUAUAAAAUAUAGUUGGGGAUCACAGAUCAUAUGAAAUGGAUUUUUACUGAAGGUAUUGGAAUUUAUGAAUUCAUAUGGAUUGAAUGCCAUUUUCUUAGAAUUGAAUUGAUUGAAAUAGGUGAUCAUUUAUUAUGCCACAACGUUGGAUCCUUGUCAGCAAAGUAUAUCAUUCCAGUCGUCUGCCAUUGAGAUUCACACCUUGUCUCAUGCAGUAGAC
rnacentral:lncRNA from 1 species